GAUGAACGCUGGCGGCGUGCCUAAUACAUGCAAGUCGAGCGAACCACUUCGGUGGUGAGCGGCGAACGGGUGAGUAACACGUAGGUGAUCUGCCCAUCAGACGGGGACAACGAUUGGAAACGAUCGCUAAUACCGGAUAGGACGAAAGUUUAAAGGUGCUUCUGGCACCGCUGAUGGAUGAGCCUGCGGCGCAUUAGCUAGUUGGUAGGGUAAAGGCCUACCAAGGCGACGAUGCGUAGCCGACGUGAGAGGGUGAACGGCCACACUGGGACUGAGACACGGCCCAGACGCCUACGGGAGGCAGCAGUAGGGAAUCUUCGGCAAUGGGCGAAAGCCUGACCGAGCAACGCCGCGUGAAUGAUGAAGGCCUUCGGGUUGUAAAAUUCUGUUAUAAGGGAAGAACGACUUUAGUAGGAAAUGGCUAGAGUGUGACGGUACCUUAUGAGAAAGCCACGGCUAACUACGUGCCAGCCGCCGCAGUA
rnacentral:rRNA from 1 species